UACGUAGGGGGCUAGCGUUGUCCGGAAUCAUUGGGCGUAAAGAGCGUGUAGGCGGCCCGGUAAGUCCGCUGUAAAAGUCAAAGGCUCAACCUUUGAAUGUCAGUGGAUACUGCCGGGCUAGAGUCCGGAAGAGGCGAGUGGAACUCCUGGUGUAGCGGUGGAAUGCGCAGAUAUCAGGAGGAACACCAAUAGCGAAGGCAGCUCGCUGGACGGUACUGACGCUAAGGCGCGAAGCGUGGGGGAGCGAACAGG
rnacentral:rRNA from 1 species